rnacentral:rRNA from 1 species
UGGGUGACCUGCCCUCAGCUCUGGAAUAAGCCUGGGAAACUGGGUCUAAUACUGGAUAUUCACUUCUCAUCGCAUGGUGGGUGGUGGAAAGUUUUUUCGGCUGGGAUGGGCCCGCGGCCUAUCAGCUUGUUGGUGGGGUGAUGGCCUACCAAGGCGACGACGGGUAGCCGGCCUGAGAGGGCGACCGGCCACACUGGGACUGAGACACGGCCCAGACCUCCGUACGGGA